AUAAAACUUGGGUUUUAAUGAAAUUAUAACUUUAAAGAAUAAACCGAGUUUUCCAAGGAUGCAUGAAAAGAUAUGUAAAACCUAAGUGCACCCAUGCAUUCAUCUUACAUUUUUUUUCUAUGAUCAAAAGCCUUCCAAAUGUCUCGAUCUUGUAUCCAUUUUUUCAUUUGAUGAAUUUCCAAAUUUAUACCUGAGAUUCUUUACAAUUCAAACCAAUUAGUCACUUAACCAUGGUUUGUUAUCAUCAAAAUAUGAUUAUGAGAACCCUUGGGCUAACAGUUACACAUAGAAUAGGACUUACAAUGAAUCAUGAAACAAGGCCAUCGAUUUGUCAUGAUUCACCAAGCUACUAUAUUACAUGGACUCUUAACUUUAAGAGGAUAUUGUACUGAAAUCAAUAGGAGGCUUUGACCUAAGGAUGAGACCCUAAAAUGAUCAUAUAUUCUCUACGUAUUGUGUCAUUAUGAAGUAUGAAAAUAUUGGUAAUCACAGAUAUAUCAAAUAUAUCGAAGACAUAUCGAUAGAUAUUUUGAAAAAAAAAAUAUCGAUAAGCCUAAAAUUAAUCAAAACUUAUGGAAAUGUAAGAAAAACCUCAUAAAAAUGUAAUUACAAGUAUAAUAGACAUUUUAAAGUUAUUUUAUUUAAGAAUUUGAUAUAUGUAUGAUAUAAUUUAUCAUAUUUGAUAAUAAUAUCGAUGGAAAAAACCCGAAUCUUUUCGUUUCCCAAGCCUAGAUCAGGUUAGGAACAUGCAUAACUAUCCUAGGCCUUUUCUAAAUCCUA
rnacentral:lncRNA from 1 species